GAGACCUGUCACCUUGCCCACCCCGAGCUCUGCCUUCCCUGUAUCCACGGAAGUCCCCUGCUUCAAUGGGAGCGGAGCCUGAGACCAGAUUUGCGAUUUCUUCCUGGGUGUUCCAGGUGCCCAAGUUGGCCAGGAGCUCUCAUCCCUGCAGGGGAAACUGAGGCUCAGAGAAUAAUGCAACUUGCCUGAAGGCCCACAGCAAGAUCUGAAGCCAGAGACUCUGUGCUCAACUUACCCUUUCCAAAAGUCAUGUGUGCUAGGUCCAGGGAGCUCACCACCUCGGGUGCAGGAGCUGACACCAGGUACAGUGGGUGUCCACAUACCUAGUGCCCGUAUACUCAGAUGCUGGCACACCCAUGUGGAAGGGGCCCGUGCGUGUCCUGUCACAGCAGCCCCUGCGUGUUCCCUGGGAGGCACGUUCACAGUUCAUGAAAAAUUCUCCUUGAUGUGUGUGCAGCCGGCCUCAGUCCCCGUCACCAGCCGCGUCCUCCCGCCUUCCUCGAAUUGCUCAGCCUUCAUUUAUGUCUUCAUAGGGGCCUGAACAGCAGGAACGGAGCCCCAGGACGACAGGCCACACCAUGCUCACUGCUCCCGGGGCUCGGAGGCCCCAGGGGAAGUCAGGAGACACCUUCAGCACUUGUCCCAGCAGCGGCCUCCGAGGGUGGGUGGGAUUAGAAG